rnacentral:rRNA from 1 species
CCUACGGGAGGCAGCAGUAAGGAAUAUUGGUCAAUGGACGAAAGUCUGAACCAGCCAUGCCGCGUGAAGGAUUAAGGCCCUCUGGGUUGUAAACUUCUUUUAUCUGGGACGAAAAAAGGGUAUUCUUACUCACUUGACGGUACCAGAGGAAUAAGCACCGGCUAACUCCGUGCCAGCAGCCGCGGUAAUACGGAGGGUGCAAGCGUUAUCCGGAUUUACUGGGUUUAAAGGGUGCGUAGGUGGGCUUGUAAGUCAGUGGUGAAAUCUCCGGGCUUAACCCGGAAACUGCCAUUGAUACUAUAGGUCUUGAAUUAUCUGGAGGUAAGCGGAAUAUGUCAUGUAGCGGUGAAAUGCUUAGAUAUGACAUAGAACACCAAUUGCGAAGGCAGCUUACUACGGAUAUAUUGACACUGAGGCACGAAAGCGUGGGGAUCAAACAGGAUUAGAUACCCUGGUAGUCCACGCCCUAAACGAUGGAUACUCGACAUCAGCGAUACACUGUUGGUGUCUGAGNGAAGANAUAUAUCCNCCNGAGUAGANCGCAGAUAGAACGUACAAGAGUAGUAGCGNGNGAGAGACGACGACGACGACGACGGAGGAGGAGG